AUUGAACGCUGGCGGCAGGCCUAACACAUGCAAGUCGAACGGUAACAGGGAUCAGCUUGCUGAUUCGCUGACGAGUGGCGGACGGGUGAGUAAUGUCUGGGAAACUGCCUGAUGGAGGGGGAUAACUACUGGAAACGGUAGCUAAUACCGCAUAACGUCGCAAGACCAAAGAGGGGGCCUUCGGGCCUCUUGCCAUCGGAUGUGCCCAGAUGGGAUUAGCUAGUAGGUGGGGUAACGGCUCACCUAGGCGACGAUCCCUAGCUGGUCUGAGAGGAUGACCAGCCACACUGGAACUGAGACACGGUCCAGACUCCUACGGGAGGCAGCAGUGGGGAAUAUUGCACAAUGGGCGCAAGCCUGAUGCAGCCAUGCCGCGUGUAUGAAGAAGGCCUUCGGGUUGUAAAGUACUUUCAGCGGGGAGGAAGGGAGUAAAGUUAAUACCUUUGCUCAUUGACGUUACCCGCAGAAGAAGCACCGGCUAACUCCGUG
rnacentral:rRNA from 1 species